UACGGGGGGAGCAAGCGUUGUUCGGAUUUACUGGGCGUAAAGGGCGCGUAGGCGGCGUGACAAGUCACUUGUGAAAUCUCCGGGCUUAACUCGGAACGGUCAAGUGAUACUGUCGUGCUAGAGUACAGAAGGGGCAACUGGAAUUCUCGGUGUAGCGGUGAAAUGCGUAGAUAUCGAGAGGAACACCUGCGGCGAAGGCGGGUUGCUGGGCUGAUACUGACGCUGAGGCGCGAAAAGCCAGGGGGAGCGAACGGGG
rnacentral:rRNA from 1 species